AAUGGGGUGGUUCCAUGGCCCAGAAGCACUCUAGCUACAGAUUAGAAUGAUGACAAGAGUAAUACCUUCCUAGUGAAGAUGACUUUUAUUUCAGGACUAUAUUAAGUUUCCCAACUUCUGUCAUGAUAUAGUCCAAAGAGAACCUGGACCACGCAGACAUCAAACAGAACAUGACACUGACCCAUUCUAUCAGUGACGUUGUGCUGAUUGCACAGGACAGAUGAGAGGCUCGUAUACUAGAAGUCUUGAUAACUUGUUUUCUAGUUUCACAUGUCCACAGAUGAAGAAAAAUUGUGCCCCAGCAAGGAUUAUACCCAGAGCCUCAUCCAUUCAUACCUGAUUUAGAUACUUAGAUGAUGAGUAAUAGAAAAGUCAUAUGAUACUUCAAAAUCUGUGAUUCCAUGAAGCCAAGAGUAGCUCUUCAACAGGAAAUGAAUGAGUGCUUCAGCUUCUGAUCCCAUUAGUAAGAAAAUACAGUCUUAUGAGCAAUGAUGGAGCUGCAUCUCUUAGGGGCAUUUGAUUCCCAAGAGACCAAAGAGCAAAGAGAAUGUCAAUUUAAAAAAAUCAAAUGUUUCCAUGACUUAGCUAUUUAACUGCUUUAAAAUGAAUGAAUGCUGCUUCAAGUUCUUUCAAAUACCCCACAUCUUGGCAACAACGAAAGGAAUUAACAUGAAGAAAAUUUACAAUCUUUCAUCACAUCGAACAAUGUCCCACAUUUGAAAAGUUCACAGCACAGAUUUCUGGUUACUGAAAGAAAGGAAAGACCUUCUUUGGAUUUGAAUAAACAGAUGGACUUUCUUCUC
rnacentral:lncRNA from 1 species